UUACUCUUACUACUACUACUACUACGGUCACUCUGUUGGACUGUUGGUAUUGUCCCUCUGUUUCCUCUCGUAUAAGAGAAAGCAAAGCGGAACAUUUCCAAACAGAAUUUUCAGAACUACCUUUUCUUAAUACUCUCUUUCCAUUCCAAUUUUCCUUUCCUAUUUUCAUUUCCUUCCCAUUCCUUCUUUAUAUAAUAUAUAUAUAGAGAGAGAGG
rnacentral:lncRNA from 1 species